UACGAAGGGGGCUAGCGUUGCUCGGAAUCACUGGGCGUAAAGGGUGCGUAGGCGGGUCUUUAAGUCAGGGGUGAAAUCCUGGAGCUCAACUCCAGAACUGCCUUUGAUACUGAAGAUCUUGAGUUCGGGAGAGGUGAGUGGAAUUGCGAGUGUAGAGGUGAAAUUCGUAGAUAUUCGCAAGAACACCAGUGGCGAAGGCGGCUCACUGGCCCGAUACUGACGCUGAGGCACGAAAGCGUGGGGAGCAAACAGGG
rnacentral:rRNA from 1 species